rnacentral:rRNA from 1 species
AGUUCUGGUGUCAGCCGCCGCGGUAAAACCAGCACCUCAAGUGGCCAGGAUGAUUAUUGGGCCUAAAGCAUCCGUAGCCUGCUUUGUUAGUUUUCGGUUAAAUCCAUGUGCUUAACGCAUGGGCUGCCGAAAAUACUGCAAAGCUAGGGAGUGGGAGAGGUAGACGGUACUCAGUAGGAAGGGGUAAAAUCCUUUGAUCUAUUGAUGACCACCUGUGGCGAAGGCGGUCUACCAGAACACGUUCGACGGUGAGGGAUGAAAGCUGGGGGAGCAAACCGGAUUAGAUACCCGGGUAGUCCCAGCUGUAAACGAUGCAGACUCGAUGAUGCAUUGGCAUAUAGCCAGUGCAGUGUCGCAGGGAAGCCGUUAAGUCUGCCGCCUGGGAAGUACGUACGCAAGUAUGAAACUUAAAGGAAUUGGCGGGGGAGCACCACAA